UGUUCAGUAGGUCACCAUUCAUGGAAAGACAGGUGUUCAGUAGGUUACCACUCAUAGAGAGACAGGUGUUCAGUAGGUUACCACUCAUAGAGAGACAGGUGUUCAGUAGGUCACCACUCACAGGAAGAGAGGGGAUGCAUAUAAGAGUGCGUGUAGUUAAGAUUCGCUAGCAGAGAAACACAGGGGGCUAGUGGCAUUGGUUCUAU